AUUGAACGCUGGCGGCAGGCCUAACACAUGCAAGUCGAGCGAGCUGCGGACGGGUGAGUAAUGCCUGGGAAACUGCCUGAUGGAGGUGGAUAACUACUGGAAACGGUAGCUAAUACCGCAUACCAUCAGAUGUGCCCAGAUGGGAUUAGCUAGUAGGUGGGGUAAUGGCUCACCUAGGCGACGAUCCCUAGCUGGUCUGAGUGGAUGACCAGCCAGGAUGGAACUGAGACACGGUCCAGACUCCUACGGGAGGCAGCAGUGGGGAAUAUUGCACAAUGGGCGCAAGCAUGAUGAAGCCAUGCAGAGUGUGUGAAGAAGGCCUUAGGGUUGUAAAGCACUUUCAGCGGGGAGGCGUUACCCGCAGAAGAAGCACCGGCUAACUCCGUGCCAGCAGCCGCGGUAAUUC
rnacentral:rRNA from 1 species